rnacentral:rRNA from 1 species
ACUACGGGAGGCAGCAGUGAGGAAUAUUGGUCAAUGGCCGUAAGGCUGAACCAGCCAAGUCGCGUGAAGGAAGAAGGAUCUAUGGUUUGUAAACUUCUUUUAUAGGGGAAUAAAGGUAUCCACGUGUGGAUAUUUGCAUGUACCCUAUGAAUAAGCCUCGGCUAACUACGUUCCAGCAGCCGCGGUAAUAAGAGUGAUUCGAGCGUUAUCCGGAUUUAUUUGGGUUAAAGGGUGCGUAGGUUGUUUUUUAAGUCAGGGGUGAAAGUUUGUGGCUCAAACAUAAAAUUGCCGUUGAAACUGGAAGCCUUGAGUGUGUGUGAGGUAGGCGGAAUGCGUGGUGUAGCGGUGAAAUGCAUAGAUAUCACGCAGAACUCCGAUUGCGAAGGCAGCUUACUAAGCCAUAACUGACACUGAAGCACGAAAGCGUGGGGAUCAAACAGGAUUAGAUACCCGGGUAGUC